CCGUUCAAUGCAAAGAUCGAGUCCGUACGACACUGCGCAUGCGCACACAGCCUCCACAGACGCUGUCAAGAGAGCAGCUGAGACGAGCAGACAAAACGAACAAAUGAACUACUUUCCAGAGAGUGACUUAAAUUUUAAUUACGCGAUGGGCUAUUAACAAGGGCCACAACAGUUUGGGUCAUUUCAUUGCAUUGUGUGUGUGAGAGAGCGAGAGCGAAAGGGACCUACCCUACAUCCUGAAUGAGCUGUUGCACCCCGUUCAAGAAAAUCCAGUACGAGUUUGACAUUGACAAAUUCAUGACAUCCAGGAGCUAGUUGGCCACUAGAGUAACUUCCCCCUCAGCCACAGCGGGGGUGAUCACGAAACUUCAAGGAGGAUGGCGUCAGCAAGUUACCACUAACUAGCGUCUCUGUGGAGAGUAAAGAAGCCAAAAUACAAAUCAGCCAAGUUGAGACACUGUGAAGAACACCACUAGACACCCUCUUAGCUCCUAUGCCAGACGGUGACGACAUGGAAGAACCUUUGAGGAGCAACGCAGAAUGUGAAGGUGACGACAAAUCGUCGAAAUGCUCUAAAAUACUUGGCAACAAGGAAAUUACACAAACAUGAAGAAAACAUGUUACCUCCUCAGUUUGUGGUACAAUUUUCGCUGCACAUCACAAACGCCACAGAACACACAUAGGAGAAAAGCUUGUUUGUUGCUUAUUGUGUGGUAAAAGAUUUUCUUGGAAGGUAUGUGUGGUAUCAAACAUGAGAAUACACAGAGGAGAAAAACCUUUAGUCGCUCAGUUUGUGGUAAAAGAUGAAUUAAAUAGCCAAGCAUGGUAACAAGUGAGAACGCCCACAGGGGAAAAAUCCGUCUAUCCGGAACUAUUUAACUGCACACAUGCGGACACAUGAUAAAGGGAAAAUAAAUGUUUUACAGUGGUAGCCCACAAUAUAGCGAUUCCGAAGCGGACCACGUAUUGUUUUUAUUGAAGAGCCAUAAAUGCUGUGUUUAGCUGUGCAGCACAGAUCGUUGUCAUCUUCAUCGUACUUUCAGGAGUGGCGCAGAUUGUGAAGGUGACAAAAUGUCCAAAUGCUCUGGAAAGGAAACUUCACGUGUUAUCUCCUCAGAUUGUGGUAAAUGUUUCCCUAAAAGAAACAACAUUGAUUAGACUCAUGAGAAAACACAGAGGAGAAAACCCCUUUGGAUGCUCAUUUUUUGGGAAAGAAUUUGCUCAGAGCCUACCAUUGCUAAGACACGAGAAUACACACAGGAGGAAAAUCCUACAUCCAAUAGUCUCAGAAGAUUAUAGUACGCUUAAAGAAAAAUUCAAAACGGCGGCGGGACAAAUAUGGUGGCCACUCUAAACCCAAACAUCAACAAGAGCGUUUUUUCAAAGAAAACUGGAGUUCCUCAAAUUAAUUGAUGGAGAUGAAUCAGAUUUUGAAAAUGUAUCCGACGAGGAUGAUGCCAUCCUGGAUGCUGAUUAUCAACAACCAGUAAUGGAGCAAAGCAGCAGUAGUACUGAUGAGGGCUCCUUUCCACAGCCCACUGACCACAGCAGAGGACAUAAAUGUCUCCAUGAUCCACUAAUGAAGACCAUUAUGCAGGUCCUUGAGUUCCGUACGGAAGUAGCUUACGCACUCUUGGCCCAGCAUCACAUUCACGAGGACUAUGGCGAGCUUUCAGAGAUGUCAGAGGAAGAAGAAUAUUCAAAUCACGAGAAAAAAAUGGCCAGUGACAGCAGUGCCCCACGUCUCAGUCCUCAGGGGGGCAAAUGUGUAUCUCCCCGAGCAGAUCAGCAUGUGGAACGCAGCAUGCUGCACUGGGAGAACCCAAGUGUGUUGUGUGAGCUGCAAGGUGUUCUUGUGCUUGCGAGCUGAUUGCAACUGUUACACAGCUUUUCAUUUGUUGAUGUAUACAUGUUCCUCAAGUAAAGGGCAAUCCUAGUUUUAAUACAAAAUGCUUUCAACUGUUGGCAGAAUUUCAAAUGAGCCAUACUGUCGAUGUGACUGUCUAAAAGUGGAAGAAAUGUCAUUUUGUUUUGAUUUUUGCACUGUGGUGUUUGAAACAUGUUCAAGAUGUAUUGUGUAAGCCCUAUUGAUACAUGCAUAUGCUGUGUUCAGGUUGGAAAUAAAGAGUUGGGCACUCAGUGA